GCCCGCUGUUACAAAACAGACUCUGUGCCAGACAAGGGGAAGCGGGUGCAACUCCCGCGCUGUCCCGCAACUGUAACCAUCAGACCGGAUCUGAUGGGAGCCAGAACACCUUUCUGACACGCGCUUCAAGG
rnacentral:ncRNA from 2 species